rnacentral:rRNA from 1 species
UACGAAGGGGGCUAGCGUUGCUCGGAAUUACUGGGCGUAAAGGGCGCGUAGGCGGACGUUUAAGUCAGAGGUCAAAUCCCGGGGCUCAACCUCGGAACUGCCUUUGAUACUGGGCGUCUUGAGUACGGGAGAGGUGUGUGGAACUCCGAGCGUAGAGGUGAAAUUCGUAGAUAUUCGGAAGAACACCAGUGGCGAAGGCGACACACUGGCCCGUUACUGACGCUGAGGCGCGAAAGCGUGGGGAGCAAACAGG